UACAGAGGUCUCAAGCGUUGUUCGGAUUCAUUGGGCGUAAAGGGUGCGUAGGUGGCGCGAUAAGUCGGGUGUGAAAUCUCGGAGCUUAACUCCGAAAUUGCAUUCGAUACUGCCGUGCUCGAGGACUGGAGAGGAGACUGGAAUUUACGGUGUAGCGGUGAAAUGCGUAGAUAUCGUAAGGAAGACCAGUGGCGAAGGCGGGUCUCUGGACAGUUCCUGACGCUGAGGCACGAAGGCCAGGGGAGCAAACGGG
rnacentral:rRNA from 1 species